rnacentral:rRNA from 1 species
AACGCGAAGAACCUUACCAGGGUUUGACAUCCUGUGCUCGCCGGAGAGAUCCGGUUUUCCCGCAAGGGACACAGAGACAGGUGCUGCAUGGCUGUCGUCAGCUCGUGUCGUGAGAUGUUGGGUUAAGUCCCGCAACGAGCGCAACCCUCGCCUUUAGUUGCCAUCAUUAAGUUGGGCACUCUAGAGGGACCGCCGGCGACAAGCCGGAGGAAGGUGGGGAUGACGUCAAGUCCUCAUGGCCCUUACACCCUGGGCUACACACGUGCUACAAUGGCGGUGACAAUGGGCAGCUAACCCGCGAGGGCAAGCUAAUCCCAAAAAACCGUCCCAGUUCAGAUUGCACUCUGCAACUCGGGUGCAUGAAGGUGGAAUCGCUAGUAAUCGCAGAACAGCAGGCUGCGGUGAAUACGUUCCCGGGCCUUGUACACACCGGAGUGC